AUCAUAAAAGUGCAUCUAUUAGGGAUAAUAGUGCAUCUAUCCAUCAUAAAAGUGCAUCUAUUAGUGAUAAAAGUGCAUCUAUCCAUCAUAAAAGUGCAUCUGUCCAUUAUAAAAGUGCAUCUAUCCUUCAUAAAAGUGCAUCUAUCCUUCAUAAAAGUGCAUCUAUCCUUCAUAAAAGUGCAUCUAUCCUUCAUAAAAGUGCAUCUAUCAUCAUAAAAGUGCAUCUAUCCUUCAUAAAAGUGCAUCUAUCAUCAUAAAAGUGCAUCUAUCCUUCAUAAAAGUGCAUCUAUCCAUCAUAAAAGUGCAUCUAUCCAUCAUAAAAGUGCAUCUAUCCUUCAUAAAAGUGCAUCUAUCCUUCAUAAAAGUGCAUCUAUCAUCAUAAAAGUGCAUCUAUCCAUCAUAAAAGUGCAUCUAUCCAUGAUAAACGUGCAUCUAUCCAUGAUAAACGUGCAUCUAUCCAUGAUAAACGUGCAUCUAUCCAUCAUAAAAGUGCAUCUAUCCAUCAUAAAAGUGCAUCUAUCCAUGAUAAACGUGCAUCUAUCCAUGAUAAACGUGCAUCUAUCCAUGAUAAAAGUGCAUCUAUCCAUCAUAAAAGUGCAUCUAUCCAUCAUAAAAGUGCAUCAGUCCAUCAUAAAAGUGCAUCUAUCCUUCAUAAAAGUGCAUCUAUCAUCAUAAAAGUGCAUCUAUCAUCAUAAAAGUGCAUCUAUCCAUGAUAAACUGCAUCUAUCCAUGAUAAAAGUGCGUCUAUCCAUCAUAAAA